rnacentral:rRNA from 1 species
AUACGGAGGAUCCGAGCGUUAUCCGGAUUUAUUGGGUUUAAAGGGUGCGCAGGCAGGAGAUUAAGUCGGCGGUGAAAUUUUGCAGCUCAACUGUAAAAGUGCCUUUGAAACUGGUUUCCUUGAGUGGAGCUGAAGUAGGCGGAAUUUGUGGUGUAGCGGUGAAAUGCAUAGAUAUCACGAGGAACUCCGAUUGCGCAGGCAGCGUACUAAACGACUACUGCAGCUGAGGCACGAAGGCGUGGGAAUCAAACAGGAUUAGAUACCCUGGUAGGCCACGCAGUAAACGAUGAUUACUAGCUGUUUGCGAUACAAUGUAAGCCGCUGAGCGAAAGCGUUAAGUAAUCCGCCUGGGUAGUACGUCCGCAAGAAUGAACCGCAAAGGAAUUGCCGGG